GCGAAAGUGGCGGAACUGGUAGACGCGCUGGGUUUAGGUCCCAGUGGGGUUAACCCCCCGUGCGAGUUCGAGUCUCGCCUUUCGCACCA
rnacentral:tRNA from 2 species